rnacentral:lncRNA from 1 species
CUCACCCCUCAACUUUUAGAUAGGGGAAAGAAGCUGAAGGUUAGGUUGAUCUUCACUGGUCAAUGAUUCAAUGAAUCGUGCCUAUGCAAUGAAGCCUUCAUAAAAACCCAGAAUGACUCAGCUUGGGGAGCUUCUGGAUAGCUGAACAUGUGCAGAUGCCUGAAGCCUGGCUCGCCCAAAAGGGCAUGAAAGCUCUACGCCCCUCCCCUGCACCUUGACCAAUUCAUCUCUUCCAUCCAGCAGUCCAUCUGUAUCCUUUGAAUAUCCUUUAUAAUAAGUGGGUAAAUUGUUGGAACUGUAUCCUCUUAUCAGUUGGACCAUCUCUAGAAAACACAAAGGGAGCUGCAAGGAAAUCCUGGCCCACUGCUGGACUCUAAAUGUGGCUGACACUGAUCCGUUCAGUGUUAAUCAUUGGCGUAUCCUUAUAUUGUUUCAAAAUUCAGCAUCCACGUGACUGGGCCUAUAUAAAGUUUCCCAAGCGCUUUUUCAUCUAUUAUUUAUUCUGACAUCAGUGCUGUGAAGUAUGGCAUUAUCAACUCUGUUUGACAUAUAAGGAGGUAGGUUUCAGAAAGGAAAGGUCCUAUUUGAGGUCCUGUGACUGGUUAGAUAGAGCUGGGACCAGAACUCAAGUCUUAGCCCUGCUGGACUUCACCCCCAUCAUAAUGCCAGGGGGACAAACAGGGUCAUCACAUAGUAAUUCAAACUUCGGGAAAAAAGCUGCAAGAGCUGCCUAGGAAAAGUUGAACAUGGUGGAAAAUUUCUGGGGAAUCUAUUAAUGUAUAAUUAUGGAAAGUUUAUUGAAAUUCAUCUAGUUAAGAUUGAAUUUAUACAAACACUUUAUUAAUUUAUAUUCAGGUGACCAGAAAAAGCGACUCUGAAUACAAAGAGUUUGUAUUAUCUGGUAUUCCUUGUUCUAGCUGCAGAAGAGUAAAGAUUAAUUCUUGAUCUUUUUUAAUGGUCUGAUGAUUUGUCUUUGCUCUCUUUCCCCAAGGGAAAAAGUUUCUGUUCACUUGCUCCUUAAUGAUAGCACUUUGCAUUUGUUUA